AACGAACGCUGGCGGCAGGCUUGACACAUGCAAGUCGAACGCAUCCUUUUAGGGUGAGUGGCAGACGGGUGAGUAACGCGUGGGAACGUGCCCUUCAGUUCGGGAUAACCCAGGGAAACUUGGGCUAAUACCGGAUACGUGCGAGAGCAGAAAGAUUUAUCGCUGAAGGAUCGGCCCGCGUCUGAUUAGCUAGUUGGUGGGGUAAUGGCCCACCAAGGCGACGAUCAGUAGCUGGUCUGAGAGGAUGAUCAGCCACAUUGGGACUGAGACACGGCCCAAACUCCUACGGGAGGCAGCAGUGGGGAAUAUUGGACAAUGGGCGCAAGCCUGAUCCAGCCAUGCCGCGUGAGUGAUGAAGGCCUUAGGGUUGUAAAGCUCUUUCGUCCGGGACGAUAAUGACGGUACCGGAAGAAGAAGCCCCGGCUAACUUCGUGCCAGCCGCGCCGUAAAAC
rnacentral:rRNA from 1 species